UCGUCCUGAAAACCGAAGCAAGGAAAGAUGGAGAAAUUGUCCCAAAGUUCUGGGAGAUUUUGCUGAGCGCCGAUAAGAAAGAUUAUGAGCGCAUCUGUGCAGAAUAUGGGGUGACUGACUUCCGCUGGAUGCUGAAGAAACUGAAUGAGAUGAAAAGUGAGAGAAAACAAGAGCAAGCAGAGCCGAUAACAAUCUAGAUACUAAGGGCAAAAAGGAACCCCGAAAAACAGCCCAAGCUAGAGGGGCAGGCUUGACCUGGCAAAGAUCGCUGCAGAACAGCAGAGAUGAGAGAAUUGCUGCUGUCAAAACAGCCAUUGCUGAGGAAGAGGCAGCAGGUGCAGUGGACAGCUGUAGUUCUGCAUCUUCUCCUGGAGAUUGUUCUCGAGCAAAAAAAGAGGUCAGGAGAGAUGGCUCUGGAGACAUUGGUCCAGCGAGGAGUGUAACAGACACUUGAGAAAAGACACAGGGGAAGUGUAGGAGAACCGCACAGGUUCAUUAAAUAAGAAAAAUUCUAUCUUCAUCCACAUAAAGACACCACAGUUGCAUCGAUAUUUCUCAUGCAGUGACAUCUAUACAUUUUUAGGCGUGACAUGAGAGUCCAAAGGCAGAAGUAAUAUCAAGGUGAAUGUCUGUAUUCAUGCAUACAAAGGAUCAUUUUUUAAUGACCGACAGGAUUUUCAGGUGAGAAAAUGUCAGAAACUGAAGGUGUGACUACAGGUUCGGAUGAAGCCCUGCUGUCUGGAGACUCAGACUGUUUGAUGGUGUACUUAACAUUACAUGAGAAAUAAUAACUGAUCAAAUACAACAGCCAUUAAUUUCCUCAUUAGUGCAUUGACUCCAAUUAAUAUGAGUUAAGUGUAGCGCUAACAUUUUUUUUCAGUGCCAUAUUUACAUUAACCACAGUGUGGCACUCUAUGAAUGACACUGCCCACGAUCAGCCUGGGGGAACAGUUGACAAGAUGAAUGGUCCUUACUGGCAAAGAUAUGUAAUUUAGGCAGUUUAGGCAAGUGAUUUAUAAGUCAAAUAUAAUUGAGCUAGUCAACUAUCUUAAUAAAUUUCAAUUUGGUAACACUGUGAUUAAGCUUUAAACUUGCAAACUUGCAAAUUUUUCAUUGUUCAUUAUUAAUUUAAUAUUUUAUAUAUAAUUUUAGUAUUCAAAAUGCAUCACAUUCUUAGUCCCUAGUAAUGUAA